CCUACGGGGGGCAGCAGUGGGGAAUAUUGCACAAUGGGCGGAAGCCUGAUGCAGCGACGCCGCGUGGGGGAUGAAGGCCUUCGGGUUGUAAACCUCUUUCAGCAGGGACGAAGCGGGAGUGACGGUACCUGCAGAAGAAGCGCCGGCCAACUACGUGCCAGCAGCCGCGGUAAGACGUAGGGCGCGAGCGUUGUCCGGAUUUAUUGGGCGUAAAGGGUGCGUAGGUGGCGCGCUAAGUCGGGUGUGAAAUUUCGGAGCUUAACUCCGAAACUGCAUUCGAUACUGGCGUGCUCGAGGACUAGAGAGGAGACUGGAAUUCAUGGUGUAGCAGUGAAAUGCGUAGAGAUCAUGAGGAAGACCAGUGGCGAAGGCGGGUCUCUGGACAGUUCCUGACACUGAGGCGCGAAAGCGUGGGGAGCAAACAGGAUUAGAUACCCUGG
rnacentral:rRNA from 1 species